ensembl:lncRNA
UCCCACACUGAAGGUCAGGAAGGGCGGUGGUGAGGAGAUACCCCUCAUCCAAGGUUUCCUGCAUUGGCGGUGGUUCUUUACCACUAGUGCUACCUGGGAAGUAUCGUUCCAACAUGCCAGAGGCUGUUCACCUUGGAGACCUGCUGUGGAUGUGGGUACAGCCCUGUGGGAGAUUUACACCCUCCCCUCCGGAUUUUCAAGGGCUAGUGAGAGCUCACCAGAUGCCGCUGGAACCACGAUGCUUUUUGAAGUAAACGUGUAUACAUUUGCUGUUAGAAAAAUGUUAUAAAGACCAUCAUUUAAAAGCAAAAUUUCCCAGGGAAACACAGCCUGGAAGGUGACUGGUCAACAACCAAGAAAGCAGACAAUCCCAGUCAAACAAAGGAAGAUGAAAGAUAUUCAGAAGCCCCCACUGACCUCAUAAGAAACUCAAAGACUUUGUGUCAACUCUGUUAUUCUCAAGUUGAAUAACCUUGGUAGCAGCAAAUAUUUGGUUCAGAUCAAACGAUAAGAAAGAUGAUGUAGUAAAGUUUUAAACAUCAUAAUGUGAAAAAUAUAACUGUUUCAGAAGCAACUGCCAAUAAAUCAUGUAAGCCAUAGAAAGGUUCAUACUUUGGGGUUUAUUAAUUUCCAUUCUGAAGAUGAAUCCUAAAGAAAAAAACUUAAACAUUGAACUAAUUUAACAUAAACAUAAAUUUAGUGGAGUAUUGUUUUCAAUGGAAAAUGUUAGAUGUGAACUAAAUAUCAAUCAUUAAAUUGAUUAUAGUCUGUUUAC